rnacentral:rRNA from 1 species
CCUACGGGAGGCAGCAGUGAGGAAUAUUGGUCAAUGGACGAGAGUCUGAACCAGCCAAGUAGCGUGAAGGAUGACUGCCCUCUGGGUUGUAAACUUCUUUUAUAAAGGAAUAAAGUGAGGCACGUGUGCCUUUUUGAAUGUACUUUAUGAAUAAGGAUCGGCUAACCCCGUGCCAGCAGCCGCGGUAAUACGGAGGGUCCGAGCGUUAUCCGGAUUUAUUGGGUUUAAAGGGAGCGUAGAUGGGUUGUUAAGUCAGUUGUGAAAGUUUGCGGCUCAACCGUAAAAUUGCAAUUGAUACUGGCAGUCUUGAGUACAGUUGAGGUAGGCGGAAUUCGUGGUGUAGCGGUGAAAUGCUUAGAUAUCACGAAGAACCCCGAUUGCGAAGGCAGCUUACUAAACUGUCACUGACAUUGAUGCGCGAAAGUGUGGGUAUCAAACAGGAUUAGAUACCCGAGUAGUC